rnacentral:misc_RNA from 1 species
GAUGAAGAACGUAGCGAAAUGCGAUAAGUAAUGUGAAUUGCAGAAUUCAGUGAAUCAUCGAAUCUUUGAACGCACAUUGCGCCCGCUAGUAUUCUGGCGGGCAUGCCUGUCCGAGCGUCAUUUCAACCCUCAAGCCCCCGGGCUUGGUGUUGGGGAUCGGCGAGCCUCCGCGCCCGCCGUCCCCUAAAUCUAGUGGCGGUCUCGCUGUAGCUUCCUCUGCGUAGUAGCACACCUCGCACUGGGAAACAGCGCGGCCACGCCGUUAAACCCUCAACUUCUGAACGUUUGACUUCGGAUCAGGUAGGAAUACCCGCUGAACUUAAGCAUAUCAAAAGCGGAGGA